rnacentral:tRNA from 1 species
AGCCUUGUAGUGUUAUGAGACAUGCUGAAUUGCAAAUUCGGAGAAGCAGCUUCAACUCUGCCGGGGCUU